UUCCUUCGCGCGAGUUCUAGCCAGAUCGAUCCCCGAUUCCUCUCUCGUUGUUUCCACCGGCACAGCAAUCUCCUUCUCCGCCGCCGUAAAAUCCUCUCCUACUCUGCCACGGUGCCACUGGCCGGCGCCGGCAACCCCUCCGUCCCCACUAUCCAUCCGGCAAUCCGCUCCCCCUCCCCCAAAAUCGACGGCACAAACCCCUCCGUCCCUCCACCGAUGUCGGGUUCCUCUCCGCCACCCAACCCCGCAAUCCCCUCUAUCCGACGUCGCAAAUCCUUCCUACUCUGCAAUCAGGCGACACUUUCCCCUUCAUCCAUUGCCGCUAUCCCCGCUGCCUGACGCUGCAAGCCACCUCCCUUAUGGCGGACUGGUGCUUCAGCCCGACCGGAGACUGAGGAGGUCAUCUUCUCUGGUGUGUGAUCAGCUUGGGCUUCAUAUCCUCCUGCGGAGAUCCGCGACGGAGCUGCAAGAGACCAACUGCUGCUAAAGAAACGAUUUGCUGUUGUUAUGGGACAAAUCAGAGACUACAGAGCAGAAGAUUUCAGCACUGCUUCUGCUCUCAAUUUUACAGCUUCGUUGAAGAGAACAAAAUCUUGAGAUGGCUGGUCCCCCAAAGGAGACGGUGCAGGGCACUGAGAGGCUGAUUCGGAUCCAUGAGAUGAGGCGGACCCAACAACUUGAUUUGGGGAUGAAGAUGGCAAACACAGACCAUGCAACGGUUGGCUGGGGAGGGGAGCAACGGUUGGAAGCAGCAACGGCCACUUGCAAUUUAAAAUUUGUUGUCAGAAAUCAACUCUGUUGUUGCCGACAGUAGUACUAGUACCUGGUUGUAACGAUGUACUACUAACACAAUGGCUAAUACCAGGUAGUAAGGAGUCAUUUAAUGCUUAGUACCUGGUUUUUUACAACAUUGUGGAU